UACGUAGGGUGCAAGCGUUGUCCGGAAUUAUUGGGCGUAAAGAGCUCGUAGGCGGUCUGUCGCGUCGGCUGUGAAAACCUGGGGCUUAACUCCGGGCCUGCAGCCGAUACGGGCAGACUAGAGUUCGGUAGGGGAGACUGGAAUUCCUGGUGUAGCGGUGAAAUGCGCAGAUAUCAGGAGGAACACCGGUGGCGAAGGCGGGUCUCUGGGCCGAUACUGACGCUGAGGAGCGAAAGCGUGGGGAGCGAACAGG
rnacentral:rRNA from 1 species